rnacentral:rRNA from 1 species
CAGCAGCCGCGGUAAUACGUAGGUGGCAAGCGUUGUCCGGAAUUAUUGGGCGUAAAGGGCUCGCAGGCGGUUUCUUAAGUCUGAUGUGAAAGCCCCCGGCUCAACCGGGGAGGGUCAUUGGAAACUGGGAAACUUGAGUGCAGAAGAGGAGAGUGGAACUCCACGUGUAGCGGUGAAAUGCGUAGAGAUGUGGAGGAACACCAGUGGCGAAGGCGACUCUCUGGUCUGUAACUGACGCUGAGGAGCGAAAGCGUGGGGAGCGAACAGGAUUAGAUACCCCCGUAGUCCCUGUCUCUUAUAC